GUGAAGGACCCGCCGCCGAAGUGCCACCGAAGACCCGGAACGCCGCCGGACUCUCCGCCCAAGAUGACUGCUUAUAAACGCCUAAGAAACAAAGACUGAACUAUGGGAGCACGACUGAGCCCAGGCUAGAGGGUUGUCUGGCCUGUGAAAGAAAUACCUGGAUUUUUAAGCUUCAAGCAAGUGCAAGUUCCCUUCAAGAACCUCUGCAAUCUGCCUAAAACAACACUUAGGGAUGUCUGCAAUGUUCAUCCUCCAGGCUCUGUGCUCACUGUCCGAUGCAGCACUGGCUUGCAGGAUUUCCUGGAACAUGGCAUCCCAAGUCCUCUUCUUUCAGCUUCUUACCCGGCUCAGGUGCUCGGUGGGUUUGGAGGGGGAGCCCCCGAAGGCCGCGAUGACAGCAGUUGCAGAUACAACACACUCCGGUACCAUUACCAGUGUUCUCACUCUGGAAAGUGACAUGUAGGCUGAACUCACUCCCCUUGCUCCUUGAAAGCUGUAAGCACUACCUUCUCACUUCUGCUUGGGAUUGCUUGUGCAUGGCACCAGUCACUGCACCAGCCCUGGUGAGCGUGGCCCUAGGGGGGCGGGAAUGAGAAGGCAAUUGCUUGGUUCCAUGAUUCUAGUAGUACAGGGCAAUGGCACUGAAUACUGGCACUAUUUCCCACAACCGGUAGGGAUUUUAGCUGAUGUCUCACUCCUGAGGGUGACCAAAGCAGAGAGAGCACAGCUGCUGCUGGCAUCCCGAAGCCCCCCAGGCCUGUACGCUGCUAGCCUGUGUGCUGCCAUGGUGCCUGCUGAAGUUACCCCUGAGUGGCGUAGGAAAGUAUCCUACUGUGGCAGAAGGAAUAAGGCGGCCCUCCCCACAAACCUUCUGCAGAGGACUGCAAACUACCUCCCUGACAGUUUCAUCGAGAUCUCUCCAGAGGAUUCACGGGACUUCCCUGUGCACAUAAACAAACUACUCUGCCUGGUUUUCCCUACGUAGCUCUAGAGGGGAAUGAAAAGCAGUCAGCAACUCUGCCUCGCUCAAUCGUACCUCUCCCUCUCCUGGCAUGAGUCAAUUAAUGCGUCAAAAGAUGUGUCCUGCUACUUUGGGGGAGGGAGAGCAUUCCUGUUUAAAAUUAAACUACACACUUAGUAGUUUCCUUCCCCUGAAUCUGACUCCUCCCUGCUCGACUGGUGGGACUGCAGUGAAGUUAAGAACAGGUCCUGGUAUGCUGAGCAGCUGGAUUCUCCUGGUCUCCUGUCCCCCACACUCCUCCUCUUCCUCAUUGUCCACCUGCUCCUCUUCGCUAUUCAUGACAGGGGCCUGUGGGUCGGGUUCCUUGGAGGUAUCCAUGAUGCUGGUGGGGGUGGGGUCAGGGUCUCCUUUGAUCAUGGCGUGCAGCUUUUUGUAAAACCAGCUGGUCUGUGGCUUGGCACCGGAUCAAUUGGCGGCCUCCCUGGCCUUCUGGUCUGCCUACUGCAGCUCCUUGGCUUUCGCGUGGCACUGCUGCUGGUCCCUGUCGUAGCCCUUCUCCUGCAUCCCCUGCGCAAUCUGCUCGUAGGUGUCCACGUUUCUACGGCUGGUCUGUAGCUGGGCCUGCACAGCCUCUUCUCCCCACGGGCCCAGGAGAGCCGAUAUCUCCUGUCUACUCCAGGCUGGAGCGUGUCUGGAGUAGGUAGCCGGCCCGGGCAGCUGCACUGAACAAUGGAGAGCUGCUAGGUGCGUUCGGCAAGCUGGGCAACCAGGAAAGGGAAUUUCAAAAUGUUGCAGGGCUUUAAGGCAGGGGAGGGGGACUCCUGGUCUCCCUGACCAGUGGAGUUCACACUGGUGACCAGAGCAGUCCAUGUGGGGCAUUGUGGACUGGCUGCUGGAGGACAGUAACAGUCA